rnacentral:rRNA from 1 species
GAUGAACGCUGGCGGCGUGCCUAACACAUGCAAGUCGAGCGAUUCUCUUCGGAGAAGAGCGGCGGACGGGUGAGUAACGCGUGGGUAACCUGCCCUGUACACACGGAUAACAUACCGAAAGGUAUGCUAAUACGAGAUAAUAUGCUUUUAUCGCAUGGUAGAAGUAUCAAAGCUUUUGCGGUACAGGAUGGACCCGCGUCUGAUUAGCUAGUUGGUAAGGUAACGGCUUACCAAGGCGACGAUCAGUAGCCGACCUGAGAGGGUGAUCGGCCACAUUGGAACUGGGACACGGUCCCAACCCCUACGGGAGGCGGCAGUGGGGAAAAUUGCAAAAUGGGCGAAAGGCUGAUGCAGCAACGCCGCGUGAAAGAUGAAGGCCUUCGGGUCGUAAAGCUCUGUCCUCAAGGAAGAUAAUGACGGUACUUGAGGAGGAAGCCCCGGCUAACUACGUGCCAGCCGCCGCCGUAA